rnacentral:rRNA from 1 species
AACGUACACAGGUGCUGCAUGGCCGUCGUCAGCUCGUGUCGUGAGAUGUCGGGUUUAGUCCCUUAACGAGCGAAACCCUUGUUCCUAGUUGCCAGCACGUAAUGGUGGGGACUCUAGGGAGACUGCCGGUGUUAAACCGGAGGAAGGUGGGGAUGACGUCAGGUCCUCAUGGCCUUUAUGACCAGGGCUGCACACGUCCUACAAUGCAGUGUACAGAGGGAAGCGAACUCGCGAGAGCAAGCAAAUCCCAAAAAGCACUGCCCAGUUCGGAUUNNAGGCCGAAACUCGCCUGCAUGAAGCCGGAAUCGCUAGUAAUCGUGGGUCAG